CACGUAGGGUGCGAGCGUUGUCCGGAAUUAUUGGGCGUAAAGGGCUCGUAGGCGGUUUGUCACGUCGGGAGUGAAAACUCGGGGCUUAACCCCGAGCCUGCUUCCGAUACGGGCUGACUAGAGGUAUGCAGGGGAGAACGGAAUUCCUGGUGUAGCGGUGAAAUGCGCAGAUAUCAGGAGGAACACCGGUGGCGAAGGCGGUUCUCUGGGCAUUACCUGACGCUGAGGAGCGAAAGUGUGGGGAGCGAACAGG
rnacentral:rRNA from 1 species